rnacentral:rRNA from 1 species
AACGAACGCUGGCGGCAGGCUUAGCACAUGCAAGUCGAACGCCACCUUCGGGUGGAGUGGCAGACGGGUGAGUAACGCGUGGAAACAUACCUUUUGCUUCGGAAUAUCCCCGGGAAACUGGGAGCAAUACCGAAUGUGCCCUGAGGGGGAAAGAUUUAUCGGCAAAAGAUUGGUCCGCGUUAGAUUAGGUAGUUGGUAGGGUAAAGGCCUACCAAGCCUACGAUCUAUAGCUGGUCUGAGAGGAUGAUCAGCCACAUUGGGACUGAGACACGGCCCAAACUCCUACGGGAGGCAGCAGUGGGGAAUAUUGGACAAUAGGCGCAAGCCUGAUCCAGCCAUGCCGCGUGAAUGAUGAAGGCCUUAGGGUUGUAAAAUUCUUUCACCGGGGACGAUAAUGACGGUACCCGGAGAAGAAGCCCCGGCUAACUUCGUGCCAGCCGCCGCAGUAA